AGAUGAUGAGAAGCUGAAGAAGAGGAAGGAGCGAUUUGGCAUUGUAACAAGUUCGGCUGGGGCUGGAGCCACAGAGGACACAGAGGCAAAGAAGAGGAAAAGAGCAGAACGCUUUGGGAUUGUCUGAUGUCUGUCCAUUUUAGGCUUUACCUGUUGGGCGGGGAGCACGCUCACGUGUGUGCGCGCUCUCUCUCUCUUCCCCCCUUGCCUUCCCCCGCCACACACACACUAGCACUAGUAAGGAGUGUAGGCUCUCUUCCCCACACAGGACCCAAUAGAGAAUCCCUGAUAGCUGUACAGUUGUGCUGCUUAUUUUUUUCAAUUGUGAAGUUUAAAAAAAAUAUAUAUAUACAGAGCAAAGAGCAAAAAUGUUCUUCUUGUAUCUGUGGUGGGUGAAAUCCCAUUGCCCAGUUCGCCAUUCCCCUGCCACUUGUGUAGUUAUUUACAGCAGUGCAAAGCAGGUGUGUAAUGCCACCACAUCCAAAUUGGAAGUGUUUUACACCCAUUGUGGACUGGUGUAAAUGCCCACACAAGGUGCAGGUUUGAACCUAGGUAGUGGGGAAGGAGAACUGGAGUGGCCAUUAUCAUCAGAUGUAGGAUGAGGAAAGGAUAAUGCCAUUCGGGGAUGAAGUUGGAGAAAGGUUUGCUCUCCCUGCUAUGUCUUAGGGAGUUGCACCCUUCGGUUGAGAGACAGGUUAUGCCACUUAAAGCAGGAACUUCCUGGAGCCGCCCUUUUAUUUAAAUGUUGCUGAUUUUUAUUGUCUCCAUUUCUCUGGGCUGCCCUGGGCAAAGAAACCCUCCUCUCCCUCCUUCAGCCCCAGGAAAUCACUCUUUAAGUUCAGCAGUAUCAGGGCACGCACACCAAUAGCCUGGCUAAAAUCAUUCUUCAGCUCAAGGGCACCUUGCAUCCCUACUUAGGUUCUGCUGUGGAUCAUCUGCUUCUUCUUGGGUUGCCCCGCCCAGCUUGUGACGUCGUGUUUGCUGCCUCGCUGGCCAGGGUAGGGCCUUUCUAAUACAUGGCACGGGAUGGCCAAAAAACAUCGUAGUAAUUCUUGUAUCAGAUAGGCUUUAAACUUCACGAACCACCCCGUAUGUGAAAGGGUCUUUCUCAGCUACCUCUGCUCCCCGGGGGUGGUCUCGUGGGGAAUGGGUUGGAGCAGCAGCUGGUGAUUGGCAGAAGAUCAAGGCCAAAGCCUUGGAAUAAGGAGAGAGGAA